UGCGGGCUUCUUAGCCUUUGCAGUAGCCGCAGCGGAUCCAGAUGCCUUUUUGGCGGCCACCUUCUUCUCAGCUGGUACUGGUGGAGCAGCCACUGGAGACGCGGAUGUUGCAACUGCAGAAUCAGACAUAUUUCUUCACAAAAAUAAUACACUUUUUAAUGAAUUCGUGGCUGGUUGGAAUAAAUCCCAGGUCACCCGUUCGAGUGAGAAUCGAGGAGAAGGGCAGUACGACGAUGAUUUUAGCAUUGGUGAUUUGUGUUGCAAAAGUUUCAUUGAACGUCCGACUUAUUUUGGCUUUUCUGUAUAUAAUUAUUAAAUAAUUUAAAUCAAUUUUGAUUGAUUCAUAUUCUCAAAUGUUUAAAAUAUUAUUGUAAAUAAUUCGUUUUUUAAGUAUCGUCCAUCAUCGAUUUUUAAUACAUGUGCAAACUUUGACAACUAGAUAUCCAACUCUUAUGUUUUGGAUUCAAUGACAUUAAUAAAUACCAAUGUAAGCUUAUUUAACAAAACUUAUUUUUGAAACAUAAAAUUUGAUUUAUUUACUUUAAGGGUCAUUGAUCAGAUAUUCACUUAUCGGUUAGAAUGGUAUUUUUAAAUCGUUUUGAAGAUAACCCUAUAGAGUACAAAAAGACUACUUUCUGGGUAUUUUCAGCACUGAAUUUAGGGGUCAAAAAAUAUAAAUGUUUAAAAAUAUGUUAUUGUUAGACUUUUUUCUUAAGGAAAUCAAUAUGAUUUUCAAUUUAAUAUUAUUUAUGAUCCAUUUUUGCAAAUAUUUAGCCACAAAUAACAGCCUUUCAUACCCACAUAGCACUACCACCUACAUUUAUCUCAAAGCAAAAAUCGAAAGAAUCUAUUUUUCGUAAAUUUAAUUGUCUACCCCAAUUAGUGUGAAUCUUAAGAACAUUUCUUCAUUAUUUUUUUAUAAUAUUUUCACAUAUUUAUAUUUUAAACGGCCUUUUAAUACAUGAUAG
rnacentral:lncRNA from 1 species